rnacentral:lncRNA from 13 species
AACCAUGUUUCUGCCACAGGUAUUUCAAACCUUAUUACUGACACAGCUAUUUAAAACCAUGUUACUGCCAUGGCUAUUUAAAACCUUGUUACUGCCACAGCUACUUAAAACCAUGUUACUGCCACAGCUAUUUAAAACCAUGUUAGUGCCACAGCUACUUAACCUUGUUACUGACGCAGCUAUUUAAAACCAUGUUACUGCCAUAGCUAUUUAAAACCCUGUUACUGACACAGCUACUGAAAACCUGGUUUCUACCACAGCUACUGAAAAACCUGUUACCUCCACAGCUACUAAAAACCUUGUUACUGACACUGCUACUUAAAACCGUGUUACUGCCAAAGCUAUUUAAAACCCUGUUACUGACACAGCUACUGAAAACCCUGUUUCUGCCACAGAUAUUUAAAACCCGGUUUCUGCCACAGGUAUUUUUUAAACCCUCUUACUGCCACAGCUACUUAAAACCUUGUUACUGACACAGCUACUUAAAACCUUGUUACUGCCACAGCUAUUUAAGACCCUGUUACUGACACAGCUACUGAAAACCCUGUUACUGCUACAGCUAGUUAAAACCUUGUUACUGCCAUAGCUAUUUAAGACCCUGUUACUGACACAGCUACUGCAAACCCUCUUACUGCCACAGCUACUGAAAACCCUGUUACUGCCACAGCUACUUAACAUCUUAUUACUGACACAGCUAUUUUAAACCUUGUUACUGCCACAGCUAUUUAAAACCAUGUUACUGACAAAAGCUAAUUAACACCUUGUUACUGCCACAGCUAUUUAAAACCCUGUUACUGCCACAGCUAUUUAAAACCAUGUUAGUGCCACAGCUACUUAACAUCUUAUUACUGACACAGCUAUUUAAAACCUUUUUACUGACACAGCUAUUUAAAACCCUGUUACUGCCACAGCUAUUUAAAACCUUGUUACUGCCACAGCUAUUUAAAACCAUGUUAGUGCCACAGCUAUUUAAAACCAUGUUACUGCCACAGCUAUUUAAAACCCUGUUACUGCCACAGCUACUUAACAUCUUAUUACUGACACAGCUAUUUAAAACCAUGUUAGUGCAACAGCUAUUUAAAACCAUGUUAUUGCCACAGCUAUUUAAAACUAUGUUACUGCCACAGCUACUUAAAACCUUGUUACUGACACAGCUAUUUAAAGUCUUGUUACUGACACAGUUACUUAACACCUUGUUACUGACACAGCUACUUAAAACCUUGUUACUGACACAGCUACUGAAAAC